UCUCCAGGAGGGAUACUCUCUCCUUCUCUGUUUCCAGCUGCAUCUGUGGAGGGGUAGGGGGGUAACAGCUUGUGGGCUCAGGAUUACCAUGCUCACCAACGAGGCCACAAGCACAUCCCAGCUGCCCUAGGGCUCUCCUAGCAAAUGGGAAGGGGCUGAGGGCAAAGGAAGGUCUGAGCCCAUGGGUUCAGAACAAGGAAGUGCAAAGAUUACCACUGGUUUGCAAGCUGACAGGAUGUGGUACAUGUCAGCCCUCCCUCAGGAAGUAUGACAUACUGCCGGAACUGUGGCUAAUGGUGCGGACCACCCUGCUCACUGUUAGCAAAGUGGGUAGCUACCCUCUCUUCUGGAAGCCCCUCUGCAGCACUCCUCUUGGGAGUAGAAAAGGAAGUGGUCAAGGGAAUGGGGUUUCGCCGUGUUGUCCAGGCUGGUCUCAAACUCCUGGGCUCAAGCAAUCUGCCCACCUCAGCCUCCCAAAGUGCUGAGAUGACAGGCAUGAGCCACUGUCCCUGGCCCAGGUAAAAUGUUCUAAGACCCUUGUAUCGUUCAGGAAAAGGGUAAAACUACUGAACCUUGAGAUUUUAUUAAGUAUAUGUUUAAAAAUAUUAAAGGUAACCACUAACAGGAUUUUUAAAAUAAAGUAUAUAUCAUCCACAGUUGCAGAGAGAAAAAAGAGGUGAGAAAAGAAUACAACUUAAUCACCCAACUUAAUCCUCUAAAAGAAGUUAAGAAAGGAGAUUUCCCCUCCCUAAAAGAUAUAAAAAUGGCCAGGCACAGUGGCUCACAGCUGUACCCUGCACUUUAGGAGGCUGAGGCAGGUGGAUCACGAGGUCAGUUUGAGACCAGCCUGGCCAACAUGGUGAAACCCCAUCUCUACUAAAAAUACAAAAAUUAGCCAGAUGUGGUGGCACACACCUGUAAUCCCAGCUACUUAGGAGACUGAGGCAGGAGAAUCGCUUGAACCCAGGAGGCGGAGGUUGCAGUGAGCCAAGAAUGCACCACUGUACUCCAGCCUGAGGGACAGAGUGAGACUGUCUCAAGGAAAAAAAAAAAAAAAAAAGAUAUAAAAAAGCAAGACAAAUAACAUAAGAUGGCACAAAUAAAUCCAAAUACACCUAAAACCACAAUAAAACCAAAUGGACUAAAUUACAUUAUUAAAAGACAAAACACAGUUCUGAACUGCACAAGAAUGCAUCCAAGAUAUUCCUCUCCCCCGUUUUCAUCCUGAGGCCAGUUUAAUAAUCCUAAAUCCCAGGGUCCACUCUCAAUUCUCUGUACACACCAACACAACAACAAUAAUAAUGGCUAACACAUAUAGGGAGCCCACCACAUGCUAGGAACUACUCUUAGUGCUUUUCAUAUAUUAACUCAUUUAAUAGCAGGAAGUUGGAUUUUACAGCUUGGU
rnacentral:lncRNA from 10 species